UACGUAGGUGGCGAGCGUUGUCCGGAAUUACUGGGUGUAAAGCGCGUGUAGGCGGGAGGCCAAGUCUGCGGUGAAAUCGCUCGGCUCAACUGGGCGGGGUCCGUGGAAACUGGUCACCUGGAGGACGGUAGAGGCGAGUGGAAUUCCCGGUGUAGUGGUGAAAUGCGUAGAGAUCGGGAGGAACACCAGUGGCGAAGGCGGCUCGCUGGGCCGGACCUGACGCUGAGACGCGAAGGCGUGGGGAGCGAACGG
rnacentral:rRNA from 1 species